rnacentral:rRNA from 1 species
UACGUAGGGUGCAAGCGUUGUCCGGAAUUAUUGGGCGUAAAGAGCUCGUAGGCGGUUCGUCACGUCGGCUGUGAAAACCUGAGGCUCAACCUCAGGCCUGCAGUCGAUACGGGCGGACUUGAGUACUGCAGGGGAGACUGGAAUUCCUGGCGUAGCGGUGAAAUGCGCAGAUAUCAGGAGGAACACCGGUGGCGAAGGCGGGUCUCUGGAAGAUUCCUGACUCUGAAACACGAAAGCCAGGGGAGCAAACGGG